CAGUGGGCCCACCGACGGGGAUCGAUCUCAAACCGAACGCGCAUCAAGCGAGCGCUUUACCACUAAACUGCGUUCCGCCCCUAAUAAGAUACGGUUCAACAAAUACACCUCUAAGAGUCUAAAUAACAAAAAGUGAAGAUGAAGAAGACAGAACGAAAACUAAGAGCUGAAUGAACAGUGCUUCCUGUGUUGCCACGGAAACGGCCCCUGUGACAAUGUAGUCCAGCGCAGUGCCUAGCUGUAGGAGGUACUGGGACUCCCACUUCAGUGAGUACUGCUCCCUCGACUCUGCAAGCAUUCGCCAUGGCAACCGGAAAUCUGAAAAAUAUCUAAAACUUAUAUGGCGCCGGACAUAUGGUUAAGGACCACACAGAUAUUGAGCGAGGAAACCUG